GUCUUGUUUAAGAAUGCUUCGGACAUCUGACUGUGGAAGGUAGAAUGGAAAUUGUAACAAUAAAAUCCUAACUCUAAUAGAAUACUAACUGAACUCUAAUUAGACCAUAACAAUGCCAAACAAGCUUUAAUCAAAUUCAAAGAAAUCUCAAAAGAAUUACUAAGAAAUAAUAAGAAAUAUUAAAGAAAUAUUAGAAUGAUCACAAAUAUAUCUCAAAUAUAUCUCAAUUCAAUCUUGAUUUAAUCUUAAUUAAAAUCCUAUUGAACUUCAUUCAAACUUUAGGCCAAAAAUUAACUAAAUCUUAAAUCUUAAUCAAAUCUUAAAUCCUAAAUCAAAUUUUAAUCAAAUAUUAAAUUCUAAAUCAAAUUCUAAAUUCUAAACCAAAUCCUAAUUAAACCAUAAUCAAAUCCUAAUCCUAAAUCAAACCACAACCAAAUCCUAAUCCUAAAUCUUAAACUUCAAACCAAACUCUAAUCAAACCUUAAAUCCUAAACCAAAUCCUAAAUCCUAAAUCAAAUCUUAUCCAAAUCCUAAUCUUGAAUCAAAUCCUAACCAAAUCCUAAUCAAAUCCUAACCUUAAAUCAAAUCCUUACCAAAUCCUAAACCCUAAAUCAAAUUCUAA
rnacentral:lncRNA from 1 species